UGGGGAACUUGAGUGCAGAAGAGGAGAGUGGAAUUCCACGUGUAGCGGUGAAAUGCGUAGAGAUGUGGAGGAACACCAGUGGCGAAGGCGACUCUCUGGUCUGUAACUGACGCUGAGGAGCGAAAGCGUGGGGAGCGAACAGGAUUAGAUACCCUGGUAGUUCACGCCGUAAACGAUGAGUGCUAAGUGUUAGGGGGUUUCCGCCCCUUAGUGCUGCAGCUAACGCAUUAAGCACUCCGCCUGGGGAGUACGGUCGCAAGACUGAAACUCAAAGGAAUUGACGGGGGCCCGCACAAGCGGUGGAGCAUGUGGUUUAAUUUGAAGCAACGCGAAGAACCUUACCAGGUCUUGACAUCCUUUGACAAUCCUAGAGAUAGGACGUCCCCUUCGGGGGCAGAGUGACAGGUGGUGCAUGGUUGUCGUCAGCUCGUGUCGUGAGAUGUUGGGUUAAGUCCCGCAACGAGCGCAACCCUUGAUUUUAGUUGCCAGCAUUCAGUUGGGCACUCUAAGGUGACUGCCGGUGACAAACCGGAGGAAGGUGGGGAUGACGUCAAAUCAUCAUGCCCCUUAUGACCUGGGCUACACACGUGCUACAAUGGACAGAACAAAGGGCAGCGAAACCGCGAGGUUAAGCCAAUCCCACAAAUCUGUUCUCAGUUCGGAUCGCAGUCUGCAACUCGACUGCGUGAAGCUGGAAUCGCUAGUAAUCGCGGAUCAGCAUGCCGCGGUGAAUACGUUCCCGGGCCUUGUACACACCGCCCGUCACACCACGAGAGUUUGUAACACCCGAAGUCGGUGAGGUAACCUUUUAGGAGCCAGCCGCCGAAGGUGGGACAGAUGAUUGGGGGAAGUCGUAACAAGGAGCCUUGAGGCC
rnacentral:rRNA from 1 species